GGGGAGAGAAAGGGAGAGAGAGGAAGAUAUGCCUUCAGGAGGCUUUAGAAAAUAAAAUGAGCUUGUUUUAAUAGAUAAUUGAUUAGAAAGCACCCAGCCUCAUUAACUUUAGGGAAUAUUUGCUUGAAGAGGUUCAUUUAUAUUCCAAUAACAUACUUGAGAAACUUAGGGACUGAAGAAAAUGUAGUUAUAUGUGUUGCAGU
rnacentral:misc_RNA from 1 species